CCCCUAGAUGUUCUGGGCCGCACGCGCGCUACACUGAACAGUUCAACAAGUCUUAACCUUGGCCGAUAGGUCUGGGUAAUCUUUGAACGCUGUUCGUGAUUGGGCUAGACCUUUGCAAUUAUGGGUCUUCAACGAGGAAUUCCUAGUAAACGCAAGUCAUCAGCUUGCAUUGAUUACGUCCCUGCCCUUUGUACACACCGCCCGUCGCACCUACCGAUUGAAUGGUCCGGUGAAAUCUCGGGACGGCGGCUUGGUCGCUUGCGUCCGACUGCUGAAACUUGAUUAAACCAUAUCAUUUAGAGGAAGGUGAAGUCGUAACA
rnacentral:rRNA from 1 species